rnacentral:misc_RNA from 1 species
UGGAGCGCUUGAAAUCAAUGAGGUCAGCUUUUUAUUUUUAGAUGUUUUUGAAUAUGCAAUUGAAAUUUAAUAAAAAGCUUAAACUAGAACAAUUGCUUCAUCAGAAAUGUGGGUCCUGUAUCUGUAGUGUAAACAUAAUAUAUAUAAAAAUUUAUCAUUGUUAUUUGAUCAAUUGUUUUAUGGAAGUCCCCAUUGAUACUUAUUCAUGAAUUAUGAUACUCUGUUGUUUUUUGGAUUUAAAUUUUUUGCAAGGAAGGCAUACAUUGAAAGUAGGCCUUUCAGGAUGCUUUACCAAUGUUAGUUGUGCAGCGCAUAUAGCUAUAAUCCAGGAUUUAUGUUUGGUGGGCAAAUUGGGAGCAGCUUUAUGGCUGAGAAGAAAAAUGGUACAGAUAGGUUUUGUUCCUAACGUGAUCACACACAAUUAUUAGGUGAAUGGAUUGUGCAAAACUGGAGACUUGGAGAAGGCGGCUGAUUGGCUUAUUAGAGAGAUG